CCGUAGGAGUCCGAACGAAGUUCAUCUGCAAUUGGGAUCGCGGGUGGAGUCCGUCUCCCGUAGGAGUCCGGUCGAAGCCCACCUGCAAUCAAGGUCAGGGACGAAGUCCGGCUCCCGUAGGAGUCCGGACGGAGUUUACCUGUAAGUGAAGUCGUGGGCGAAGCUCGGCUCCCGUGGGAGUCCGAACGAAGCUUUCCCGCAGUUGAGGUUGGGGACGAAGUCCGGCUCCCGUAGGAGUUCGGACUAAGUCUGCCUGUAGCUGGAGUCGGAGACG
rnacentral:lncRNA from 1 species